CAGAACGAACGCUGGCGGCAGGCCUAAAACAUGCAAGUUGAACGGCUGUAGCAAUACAGCAGUAGCGCAAGGGUGAGUAAUGUAUGGGAACGUAUCUUUUGGUGGGGAAUAUUCUUUGGAAACGAAGAGCAAUACCGCAUAAGCCCUACGGGGGAAAGAUUUAUCGCCGAUUGAGCGGCCCAUAUUGGAUUAGCUAGUUGGUUAGGUAACGGCUGACCAAGGCUGUGAUCCAUAGCUGGUCUGAGAGGACGAUCAGCCACACUGGGACUGAGACACGGCCCAGACUCCUACGGGAGGCAGCAGUUAGGAAUAUUGGACAAUGGGGGCAACCCUGAUCCCAGCCAUGCCGCGUGAGUGUUAAGGCCUUCGGGUUGUAAAGCUCUUUUGUAUGGGAAAAUGAUGAUGGUACCAUAAGAAUAAGCACCGGCUAACUUCGUGCCAGCAGCCGC
rnacentral:rRNA from 1 species